GGACGCAUAGCUCAAUUGGCUAGAGCAUCUGUUUUACACACAGAAGGUUUCAGGUUCAAGUCCUGAUGCGUCCA
rnacentral:tRNA from 1 species